rnacentral:rRNA from 1 species
UACGUAGGGUGCAAGCGUUGUCCGGAAUUAUUGGGCGUAAAGAGCUCGUAGGCGGUUUGUUGCGUCGGCUGUGAAAUCCCGAGGCUCAACCUCGGGUCUGCAGUCGAUACGAGCAAACUAGAGUGUUGCAGGGGAGACUGGAAUUCCUGGUGUAGCGGUGAAAUGCGCAGAUAUCAGGAGGAACACCGGUGGCGAAGGCGGGUCUCUGGGCAACAACUGACGCUGAGGCGCGAAAGCUAGGGGAGCAAACGGG